UACGAAGGGGGGCUAGCGUUGCUCGGAAUCACUGGGCGUAAAGCGCACGUAGGCGGAUUGUUAAGUCAGGGGUGAAAUCCUGGAGCUCAACUCCAGAACUGCCUUUGAUACUGGCGAUCUCGAGUCCGGGAGAGGUGAGUGGAACUGCGAGUGUAGAGGUGAAAUUCGUAGAUAUUCGCAAGAACGACCAGUGGCGAAGGCGGCUCACUGGCCCGGUACUGGACGCUGAGGUGCGAAA
rnacentral:rRNA from 1 species